rnacentral:misc_RNA from 1 species
AAGUCGUAACAAGGUUUCCGUAGGUGGACCUGCGGAAGGAUCAUUAACACGUAUCCAACGUUAAAACAACCCUGUGAACCUUCAUCUUGCUCGCGUGGCUCCAUAAAAAAGCAGCAAUCCCUGGUAAAUCAUUGUCGACCAGAUUUUGAGUCAGGGAAGCGACCUGGCACCCCCAAGCAAUCAGAGUUCUGAAAGCGUCUUUGAUUGUGUAAGGGUGGCGCAAACACGAUCGUUGGAGGCCGACACGGCCGAAGACCGGGUCCCUGGGUCACCAUGCCCCUUAAUCACCACACUGUAACGCCGACAGGUCGCGAUAAUUCCGCUGACCACAAAAAACCGAACAACUGUUAACAAUGGAUAUCUUGGUUCUC